GUGAGGAAUAUUGGUCAAUGGGCGAGAGCCUGAACCAGCCAAGUAGCGUGCAGGAUGACGGCCCUAUGGGUUGUAAACUGCUUUUAUGCGGGGAUAAAGUUCACUACGUGUAGUGUUUUGUAGGUACCGCAUGAAUAAGGACCGGCUAAUUCCGUGCCAGCAGCCGCGGUAAUACGGAAGGUCCGGGCGUUAUCCGGAUUUAUUGGGUUUAAAGGGAGCGCAGGCCGGAGGUCAAGCGUGACGUGAAAUGUAGCCGCUCAACGGCUGAACUGCGUCGCGAACUGGCUUUCUUGAGUGAGUUCGAUGUGGGCGGAAUUCGUGGUGUAGCGGUGAAAUGCUUAGAUAUCACGAAGAACUCCGAUUGCGAAGGCAGCCCACAAGGCCUUUACUGACGCUAAAGCUCGAAGGUGCGGGUAUCGAACAGG
rnacentral:rRNA from 1 species